UUUAUUUUUGCUUUGGAAAUUUAAUUUAAUUUUAAUUUAAAUGUGAAUUUUAGUAUAAUUUAUUUUUUAAUAAAAUAUUUAUUGCAAUAAAUAAUAUUAAAUAUUAAAGAUAUUUAGAUUUAGUAAUAAUUAGARUAUUAACUUAAUUUGUGCCAGCAGUUGCGGUUAUACAAAUAAUACAAUUAAAUUAUUUUAGUUUUAAUUAAUUGAUAAUAAGAAAUUUUAAGUAAAAAUUUAUUAAGUGAAAUUUUAAAUUUUUUUAAGAUUAAUAAUUUUUGAUGAUUUAAUAAAUUUUAAUUUUAAACUAGGAUUAGAUACCCUAUUAUUUAAAACUUAAUUUUAAAAACUAAAUUAGUAUUAGUUAAAUUCUUGAAAAUUAAAGAUUUUGGCGGUAUUUUAGUCUAUUCAGAGGAACCUGUUCUAUAAUCGAUAAUCCACGAUUUUAUUUACUUUUUUUAUAUUAAUUUAUAUAUCGUCGUAGUUUGAAUAUUUUAUAAGAAAUUAAAUAUUCAAGAUUUUUAUAAUAAAGGAAAUCAGAUCAAGGUGUAGUUUAUAAAGAAGAAGAAAUGGGUUACUAUAGUUAAAAUUUAAGAUAAUUAUUUUUAAAAUAGUUUGAAUAAGGAUUUGAUAGUAAUUUUAAUUAAUUUGUUAAAAUGAUUUUAGCUCUAAAAUAUGUACAUAUCGCCCGUCGCUUUCAUUAUAAUGUGAAAUAAGUCGUAACAAAGUAGAUUUACUGGAAAGUGAAUCUAGACUCAA
rnacentral:ncRNA from 1 species